AUGGCCGCGCAGGCCCCCGAGGGCGAGGGGCCGGCCCCCGCCCGCCCAUCGCGCAUCCGCGUCAUGCGCCCGGAGGUGGAGGAGGUCCUCAAGAGCCCCCGCCGCGGCCGCGCCAAGCUGCACAAGGAGGGCGGCGGCGAGCAGGAGGACGACGCCGGCGCGCGGCCGCGGUACGACUGCCCGUUCCAGGACGAGGAGAAGGAGGGGCAGCAGGGGUUCGCGCCGCCCGACGUGGUGUGGUGCAAGGUGCGGAGCCACCCCUGGUGGCCGGCCCAGGUCUUCGACGCCGCCGACGCCUCCGAGCUCGCGCUCCGGCACGCCAGGCCCGGCGCGCCCCUCGUCGCCUACUUCUGGGACCGGACCUUCGCCUGGAUGGACCCCUCCGUGCUGCGCCCCUUCCGCGCCCACUUCCCCCGCCUCGCCGCCCAGAGCUCAUCGCGCAAGAGAGAUGCUCCUGCAAAGGAACCAGAAGUGGCCAUUGAUGUUGAGGACAGCCCUCCUAUGCCCAGGGACAGGAUCAUGGACACCUCCGAAGAUGCAGCGGAUAAGGGAGAAGCUCCUGCAAACAAAGAUGCUGCCAUAGUUGAGGACACCCCUAUGCCCAGUACCAAGCAUAGGAAGUCGAAGAGAGGUAGCAAGACUUCAGCAGAGAAAAAGAAGAAAGACACUUCCAAAGAUACAGCAGAUAAGGGCGAGUCUCAACCAGAGGCAGAGCCUGCCAAAGAAGAUGAUGUGAAUGGGGACAGCUCUAUGCCGAGUGUGGAGGUGACGGAUGAUACAUUGAGCAAGCAAAGGAAGUCGAAGAGAGUUAGCAAGAGUGCAGCAGAGAGCAAGAAGAAAGACACCUCCAAAGACACGGCAGAUAAGGGCGAGUCUCUACCAGAGGCAGAGCCUGCAAAAGAAGAUGAUGUGGAUGAGGACAGCUCUAUGCCCAGCAGCGGGGCGGCAGAUGAUACAUCGAGCAAGGGAAGGAAGUCAAGGAGAGCUACUAGGAGUUCAGCAAAGACGAAGAAGAACGACACCUCCAAGGACACAGACAAGACAGACUCUGUAACUGAGCCUGCAAAGGAAGUGACUGAGAACGAGGACAGCUCUAUGCCCAGUGCAGAGGCGACAGAUGAUACAGUGAGCAAGGGAAGAAAGUCGAAGAAAAGUAAGGGUUCGGCAAAGACGAAGAAGAGAGAUGCAGAUAAGAAUGAGUCUGUACCAGAGCCUGCAAAAGAUGUUGCCGAGAAUGAGGACAGCUCUAUGCCCAGUGCAGAGGCGAUAGAUGGUGCAUUGAGCAAGGAAACGAAUUCCAAGAGCAGUACGAGGUCGGCAAAGAAGAAGAAGAAGAAAGACGCAGGUAAAAAAGAGUCUCUACCAGAUCCUGCAAAGGAAGGUGCUGAGAAUAAGGACAGCUCUAUGCCCAGUGGAGGGGCGACAGAUGGUGCAUUGAGCAAGGAAACGAAUUCCAAGAUCAGUACGAGGUCGGCAAAGAAGAAGAAGAAAGAGUCUCUGCCAGAGCCUGCAAAGGAAAAGGCCACUGGUACUGGCAGUUCAACGCCGAGUAGAGUGGCGGCAGAUGAUACACCGAGCAAGAAAAGGAAGUCCAGUAAGAAGAGUUCAGCCAGUAACAGGAUCAUAGACACCUCCAUGGAUGCUGUGGAUGGCAUGUUGAGUGAGAGAAAAUCAGGGCGUAGGCUAAGGUCCAGCCACAAGAUUGUAGAGGCUUUGGAGGUUAUGAAAUGGCCGAGGAAGAAGGAUGCUGGUGAAACCACAAAGGUAAAAGAUAAAGAUGCUGCUUUGCCCAAGGAGAACAAUCUAGGGCGUAGAGCGGGUUCUGCACGCCACAAGGAUAAAACCACAAUCACAAAGGAUGGGGAUGGACUUAGAGUUUCUCCUCUCAAGAAAAGGUUGCACCUUGAUGUACACUCAGCAACAGAGAAUGCACCCUUUGCAGUCUCAGAGCUUGGCAGGAAGAAGAAGACGCUUAUUGAACUUCUGGCAGAGACAGCUACCCCUAACCCUUCAGCAGGUGGUAAGAGCAAGGCUCGAGCGGAGCGUCCCUUGCCUUCUUCAAUCCUGAAACCUGAGGCUACACCGAACACCAGAGGGAAGCGUUCUUUGCCUGCUUCUACUGAGACACCUGAGGAUCCAGGCCGCGAUAAGGAUACAAUGAACACCAGAGAGAAGCGUUCUGUGGCCUCAUCAACCGAGAAACCUGAGCGUGAUACGAGAAGUACAGUGAAGACUAGAGGAAAAAGUUCUUUGCCUUCUUCAGCCGAGGAACCUGAGGACCCAGACCGUGAUAAAAAUGAUACAAUGAAGACUAGAGGGAAGCGUUCUUUGCCUGCAUCAGCGGAGAAACGUCAGGAUCCUGACCGCGGCACAAAGGGUACAGCAAAGACUAGGGGUAAACGCUCUCUGCCUGAAUCAACUGAGGAUCCUGACCGUGUUACAAAGGGUUCAUCAAAGACUAAGGGAAAAGGUUCUCUUCCUGAAUCAACUGAGGAACCAGAGGGUCCUGAUGACCGUGAUAUGAAGGAUUCAAUGCACACCAGGAAACGAAAGAAGCUCGACACAUUGGGGGAUUUGUCUUCCCAGCCACAGCCUGUUUCUCCCAAGGGUUCCACGAAAGCUCGAGAAGUGAAGCGCAAAGCUGCUGGGCAGAAGUCACAGGCAUCACCUGUUGUCAAAGCCAAUGGUGGCAUAUCAGGCGAUACGUCUUCCAAGAGGUCCGCAAGGCGCAAAGCUGCUGAACCGAAGCCACAGGAAACCCCUGUUGUCAAAGCUAACGGUGAAGCUUCUCAGACGAGAUCGCGUAGGGCCAAAAACAGUGAAGUGACUGUUCCAGACAAGUCUCCACGCUCUGUUAAGCUGGAUAAGGGCAAGAAAGGUGCCGUGGCAGAAGACUCACCGUCUUGUGGUGAAAUGCUGUCACAGCUGUGUGUCGGAGCAAGUGAUGCUGAGAAGAUGGGGAAGAUCGCCCCUGCAAGCGCUAGCUUCUUGACUGAUUUCCUGAAGAGCGCUCGUGCCUGUACUUCUGAUGUGGAGGAGGCAGCCAACACAGACUGCCGUGCUUCUAGUCCCGAUGCUGACGAGGAGAUACCUGAGAAGGCAGCAGCAGACAAAGUUUCUAGUCCCAAUGCUGACGAAGAGAUGCCUGAGGAAGCAGCAGCAGACGAAAUUUCUAGUCCUCAUGCUGUCGAGGAGAUACCUGAGAAGGCAACAGACAAUGUUUCUAGUCCUCAUGCUGACUUGGAGGUGCCUGAGGAGGCAGCAGACAAAGUGUCUAGUCCUCAUGCUGACGAUGAGGUGAUACCUGAGGAGGCAGCAGAGAAAGUUUCUAGUCCCAGUGCCGAUGAGGCGAUACCCGAGGAGGCAGCAGAGAAAGUUUCUAGUCCCAAUGCUGAUGAGGUGAUGCCCGAGAAGGCAGCAGAUGAAGUUUCCAGUGUCCCUGCUAAUGAGGCGACACCUGAGAAGGCAGCAGAGAAAGUUUCUAGUCCCAAUGCUGAUGAGGUGAUACCUGAGGAGGCAGCAGAAAAAGCGAUACCUGAGGAGGCAGCAGAUGAAGUUUCACUUGCCCCUGCCGACGAGGAGACACUUUUGAAGGUAAAAGAGGAAGUUUCUAGUCCCCUUGCUGACGAGGAGACACUUGAGAAGGCAACAACAGAGAAUGUUUCUAGUGCCACUGCCGACGAGGAGACACUUGAGACGGCAGCAGCAGAGAAAGUUUCUAGUGCUCCUGCCGACGAGGAGACAUCUGAGACGGCAGCAACAGAGAAAGUUUCUAAUGCCCCUGCCGGUGAGGAGACACUUGAGAAGGUAAAAGAGGAAGUUUCUAGCCCGCAUGCUGAUGAGGCGAUACCUGAGAAGGCGGCAGAGAAAGUGUCUAGUCCCCAUGCUGAUGAGGCGACACCUGAGAAGGCAGCAGAUGAGGUUUCUAGCCCCCCUGCCGAUGUGGAGACACCUGAGAAGGCAACAGAGAAAGUUUGUUGCCCCCCUGCCGACGAGGAGAUAGCUGAGAAGCCAUCAGACAAAGUGUCUAGUCCUCAUGCUGAAGCAGAGAUGUCUGAGAAGGCAGCAAAGAGCUCACCUGCUCCAUCAGAGCCGCCGGUGGUGUGUGAUGAUAUGAAGGACAAUUACUGGUCUGACAUUCUCAUAAACGUGGAGGAACCGCUGUCUAGUCUGGCAAAGAAGAAGGACAAGGGCAAGAUGAGAUCAAGCAAGAAGCAGCGGCGUGACGACGAGAUGAAGCAAGAUGAGAUGCUGCUGGCAGAGGCAGAGAACGGGAAGGCGAACGGGGCCGAGGAGGACGUGUCGCUGACGGGCCUGGUGCUGCACUUCAGCAAGCCGGGCGCGGUGCCCUCGCGUGGCGACCUCAUCGAGAUCUUCAGCCAGUACGGGCCCGUUAGCGAGGCGAGGACGGAGACAGACGAGCACUCCAGCUCGGCCCAGGUGGUGUUCAGGCGGCGCGCGGACGCAGAGGCGGCGUUCGGCGGUGCGGGCAAGAUCGUCGCCCUCAGGCCCGGCCUCGACAGCUUCCGCCUCACCGACUUCCCGUGCGCCACGGCCGCGUUCCGGGUUGAGGACGGGCCGAAGCAGGGGUGA
rnacentral:rRNA from 1 species